UCUUAACCUGUCUUUAUCUUUCAUUUCUUGUUUGUUUUUUUGAGGCAGGGUCUAUGUAGUUCAGUCAGGCUGGCUUUGAACUCACUAUGUAGCUCAGGCUGGCCUGGAAUUUGUGGCAAUCCUCCCGCCUCAGCCUCCCAAGUGCUGGGCUCACAGGCAUGUGCCACCACGCCCAGCUCACUCAACCUGUCUCCUCGUGAACUCCUGUCUCAGGCCUCAUCUGACUUCUGCUCUGUGCUGUUAAACCCUGCCACCUGUCUCCAGGUCCUUGGGCCCACCCUCCCUGCCUGCCUUGCUCCAGUCCUCACCACCCCCUCACCCGGAGCCCCUCCUCCCGGCCGCACAGCCCAGUCAGUUUUUUCAGCUUCUGUCUCUGGCUUCUUCUCACCAUCCUGACUGUCACCUCCCUGCUCCUGCCCUCAUCUCUCUGGGCCCUGUCCCCACUGCCUUUCCCACACCAUGUCCCCUGUCUGGGCCUGGAGGACCCCUUGGGCCCCUCCCUCAUGGAGUCCAGGCCAAACAAACCUCUCUGUGACCUCACUGUCCAGCCACUGUGACCUACUCUCCUGAAUAUGCCCUGGGACCUGGCUCCUGGGUUCUAGCUCAUGUUUAGCUGGGUGGCUCAUGGGACAUGCAGGACACUGGAGAAAUAAAGUGUAAACUCCUGAGAGAUGAUACUUUGACUUGCAGGGGGUAGAUUUUCCCUCAAGGCCCUUUCAGCACCAAUGCUGUAGAGAAGCUGGUGAAUCCUAUGCAUCGAAGCAGGCCGGGCCUCCAGGGAUUUGUAGCCCAAGAGUACAAAUUGAGAAAAGAAGACAAAAGUAGGACAGUUUGACAGCUGAGGGGAAAUCUUUAUUGAAAGAAAGCUAGCUUCUAAGAGAGAUAAGGGGGCCAGGAAAGUGGGCUGCCCCUCAGCACUGCUCUUUAUGGUCACAUGAAAACAAUCCAAAAGCAGGCCGCUUUCCAGGGUCCAGGAACAUCACUGCAUGCAUGAAGAGCAAGCCAUUAAGGUGGGAGAAGGGGAUGGAUUUGCUCUGAAAGCUUAGGACACAUCCUGGGAGCUGAUGUGGGCUCUGAAGAGGGAAGAAGUUCUGCACCUUCAAGGAGUAGCUGGCUCUUCUGGGGGCUCAAAGGAAUUCCAGGCCUGUGGACACCCAGCUGGCCCUGCAGAGAAUGUGAUCUCCAAGUGGACAGAAAAAGCACUUUCUGCUGCCACUUGGAUUUGGGUCCCCUUUCUUCACUCCAUUUCCCCAAGAAACAAGUAAGAGGUUUCAGAUAGACCAAAACCAUGAUGAAAGCAGAGGAAGUCAGCAAAGCCCGGAGUGGAAGAUCAAGACCUGGCUUUUGCUUCCCCCACCCCAGUACUAUGGAUUAAACGCAAGGCCUUCACACUGAGCUAUAUCUCCAGCCCCCGCUCUUUUUUUUUGACACAGGGUCCUGCUAAGUUGUCCAGGCUGGGCUGGAACCUAUGCGAUCCUCCUGCCUCAGCCUCCCAAAUUGCUGGGAUGACAGUUGUGCACCUCCAUGUCCUGCUGGAACCUGGUUUUGAAAGCCAG
ensembl:lncRNA